rnacentral:rRNA from 1 species
UAGCUAGUUGGUAAGGUAAAGGCUUACCAAGGCGACGAUCAGUAGCUGGUCUGAGAGGAUGAGCAGCCACACUGGGACUGAGACACGGCCCAGACUCCUACGGGAGGCAGCAGUGGGGAAUUUUCCGCAAUGGGCGAAAGCCUGACGGAGCAAUACCGCGUGUGGGAGGAAGGCUCUUGGGUUGUAAACCACUUUUCUCAGGGAAGAAUAGAUGACGGUACCUGAGGAAUAAGCAUCGGCUAACUCCGUGCCAGCAGCCGCGGUAAUACGGAGGAUGCAAGCGUUAUCCGGAAUCAUUGGGCGUAAAGCGUCCGCAGGUGGCCUAUCAAGUCUGCUGUCAAAGCGCAGAGCUCAACUCUGUAAAGGCAGUGGAAACUGAUAAGCUAGAGUUCGGUAGGGGUAGCGGGAAUUCCCAGUGUAGCGGUGAAAUGCGUAGAUAUUGGGAAGAACAUCGGUGGCGAAGGCGCGCUACUGGGCCGAAACUGACACUGAGGGACGAAAGCUAGGGGAGCGAAAGGGAUUAGAUACCCCUGUAGUCCUAGCCGUAAACGAUGGAAACUAGGCGUGGCUUGUAUCGACCCGAGCCGUGCCGAAGCUAACGCGUUAAGUUUCCCGCCUGGGGAGUACGCACGCAAGUGUGAAACUCAAAGGAAUUGACGGGGGCCCGCACAAGCGGUGGAGUAUGUGGUUUAAUUCGAUGCAACGCGAAGAACCUUACCAAGGCUUGACAUGUCGCGAAUCCUGCCGAAAGGUGGGAGUGCCUUAGGGAGCGCGAACACAGGUGGUGCAUGGCUGUCGUCAGCUCGUGUCGUGAGAUGUUGGGUUAAGUCCCGCAACGAGCGCAACCCUCGUUUUUAGUUGCCAGCAUUAAGUUGGGCACUCUAGAGAGACUGCCGGUGACAAACCGGAGGAAGGUGGGGAUGACGUCAAGUCAGCAUGCCCCUUACGUCUUGGGCAACACACGUACUACAAUGGUCGGGACAAAGAGCAGCGACCUCGCGAGAGUAAGCGAAUCUCAUCAAACCCGGCCUCAGUUCAGAUUGCAGGCUGCAACUCGCCUGCAUGAAGGAGGAAUCGCUAGUAAUCGCAGGUCAGCAUACUGCGGUGAAUUCGUUCCCGGGCCUUGUACACACCGCCCGUCACACCAUGGAAGCUGGCCACACCCGAAGUCGUUACCCUAACCUUUCGAGGAGGGGGACGCCGAAGGUAGGGCUGGUGACUGGGGUGAAGUCGUAACAAGGUAGCCGUACCGGAAGGUGUGGCUG